AUGCGAGCGUUAUCCGGAAUUAUUGGGUUUAAAGGGUGCGUAGGCGGAAUGGUAAGUCAGCGGUGAAAUACUGCAGCUCAACUGUAGUUGUGCCGUUGAUACUGUCCUUCUUGAGUAUAGAUGAGGUAGGCGGAAUGAGUAGUGUAGCGGUGAAAUGCAUAGAUAUUACUCAGAACACCGAUUGCGAAGGCAGCUUACUAAACUAUAACUGACGCUGAAGCACGAAAGCGUGGGUAUCAAACAGGAUUAGAUACCCUGGUAGUCCACGCUGUAAACGAUGAUCUC
rnacentral:rRNA from 1 species